UACAGAGGUCUCAAGCGUUGUUCGGAUUCAUUGGGCGUAAAGGGUGCGUAGGUGGGCAGGUAAGUCAGUGGUGAAAUCUCCGGGCUUAACUCGGAAACUGCCAUUGAUACUAUAGAUCUUGAAUUAUCUGGAGGUAAGCGGAAUAUGUCAUGUAGCGGUGAAAUGCUUAGAUAUGACAUAGAACACCAAUUGCGAAGGCAGCUUACUACGGAUAUAUUGACACUGAGGCACGAAAGCGUGGGGAUCAAACAGG
rnacentral:rRNA from 1 species